CAUGUUCAUUUGUCCAAUGUAUGAUUUGGCAGACUCAAUAACAAUGUUCGACAUAUGGCCUUUUUUCUUUAAAAAAAAAAAAUCCCAAGAAGAAGAAAUAGUGAUGUGAAAUUGAGUCAUUAACGAACUGAGUUGGGCGAUGAGGAUUUCCAAAAAGGGAAAAUGGAAAGGAAAACACAAAAGGAGAAUUUCACGCAAAUUUUGACAAGGAAAAGCUGAAAUAUGAAAACCACCACUUCCUGUAUUCUGAUCCUUCAGUUUUCAACCAAAAUGGCGUCCUCCAAAACCCUAAUUCGGUAUGCUGGGCACCAGGUUCUGUCCGGUAACCUCCAAAGUUCUCUUGUCAUCGCGAAAUCUUGUCUCAUACCAGGACGCCCUUGCAUUUUCAGCUCCUCUGAAGGAUUCCUCUACCCUUCUGCCCAACGCACACUGUGCACUUCACUAGUCAUGGAACCACUCAAGAGGAUGGCACCACAAGAGUGACUUCAAUACCAUCUGCAACGAGUGCUGCAUCAAUGCUACACUGUCUUUUUCGUUGUUUAGCUUGCAACAUGUAACCGGUCCUCAUCAGGUGAACCUCCGCUUUUGUUUUCGAAGCGUACUCACCAACCAAACAUCAGGCGCAAAAGGACACAUGGACUGUUUGGUUGGUGCAUCUAUCUAUCUCUGUGUGUGUGUGUGUGUGUGUGUGUCACGCGCACACCCCACCUCGGAAACCUCGCCGUCCCACACAUACAUGAAUGCAUGUCCAUAUAUGUGUGCCCUAUAGCUGCCACUCCCAUUACUCUCUGCACUGGAUAAAGGCAACUAAAGCUGGCUGAAGAGUCAUUGCUUGGUGGAUCUCAAAGGACCGGGCUAGAAUCACAGCACAAUGGCACUUCUGGCAAAUUUUUGUUAUAGAAGGUUGCUCUCAUCCAUAGGGCAAACAUUUGGACAAAAGCUGAUCCUUCUUGGCAUGCAAUUUGGAGUUUACCUAUGCAUUUCUGUAUUUUGAUUACUUUCUGUAGAGGAAUGCCUUAAAAUUAAGCAUUUUUGCUUUAAUCUUUCACACUUCUUUAACUUGGGAUUGGACUUUCUUACACCAAGUACUGAGCUGGUCCAUGAAUUGUGGAUGCCCUCGGAUGUAAUAGUUUUUUUCUUGGUAGCCAUUAACGCCCUGUAAUUGCAGAAAGAACAUCUAAGAAAUAACACUCCCAUGUUACA